rnacentral:rRNA from 1 species
UACUUAGUGGCGGACGGGUGAGUAACGCGUGGGCAACCUGCCCCGUGCCGGGGGAUACCGCCUGGAAACAGGCGCUAAUACCGCAUAAGCGCAUACAGCCGCAUGGCAGUAUGCGGAAAGCUCCGGCGGCACGGGAUGGGCCCGCGCCCGAUUAGCCAGUUGGCGGGGUAACGGCCCACCAAAGCGACGAUCGGUAGCCGGCCUGAGAGGGUGGACGGCCACAUUGGGACUGAGACACGGCCCAAACUCCUACGGGAGGCAGCAG